GUAACAGAGGGUUCGAUUCUGGCUCAGAUUGAACGCUGGCGGGAUGCUUUACACAUGCAAGUCGAACGGCAGCACGGACUUCGGUCUGGUGGCGAGUGGCGAACGGGUGAGUAAUGUAUCGGAACGUGCCUAGUAGCGGGGAGUAACUACGCGAAAGCGUAGCUAAUACCGCAUACGCCCUUCGGGGGAAAGCGGGGACCUUUCUGGGCCUUCGCACUAUUAGAGCGGCCGAUAUCGGAUUAGCUAGUUGGUAGGGUAACGGCUCACCAAGGCGACGAUCCGUAGCUGGUUUGAGAGGACGACCAGCCACACUGGGACUGAGACACGGCCUGUGACCUCACGGGAGGCAGCAGUGGGGAAUUUUGGACAAUGGGGGAAACCCUGAUCCAGCCAUCCUGCGUGUGCGAUGAAGGCCUUCGUUGUAAAGCACUUUUGGCAGGAAAGAAACGGCACGGGAUAAUACCCCGUGCAACUGACGGUACCUGCAGAAUAAGCACCGGCUAACUACGUGCCAGCAGCCGCGGUAAUACGUAGGGUGCCGUUAAUCGGAAUUACUGGGCGUAAAGCGUGCGCAGGCGGUUCGGAAAGAAAGAUGUGAAAUCCCAGAGCUUAACUUUGGAACUGCAUUUUUAACUACCGAGUUAGAGGCCGAGGGAGGUGGAAUUCCGCGUGUAGCAGUGAAAUGCGUAGAUAUGCGGAGGAACACCGAUGGCGAAGGCAGCCUCCUGGGAUAACACUGACGCUCAUGCACGAAAGCGUGGGGAGCAAACAGAUUAGAUACCCUGGUAGUCCACGCCCUAAACGAUGUCAACUAGCUGUUGGGGCCUUCGGGCCUUGGUAGCGCAGCUAACGCGUGAAGUUGACCGCCCGGGGAGUACGGUCGCAAGAUUAAAACUCAAAGGAAUUGACGGGGACCGCACAAGCGGUGGAUGAUGUGGAUUAAUUCGAUGCAACGCGAAAACCUUACCUACCCUUGACAUGUCUGAAUCCCGAAGAGAUUUGGGAGUGCUCGCAAGAGAACCGGAACACAGGUGCUGCAUGGCUGUCGUCAGCUCGUGUCGUGAGAUGUUGGGUUAAGUCCCGCAACGCGCAACCCUUGUCAUUAGUUGCUACGAAAGGGCACUCUAAUGAGACUGCCGGUGACAAACCGGAGGAAGGUGGGAUGACGUCAAGUCCUCAUGGCCCUUAUGGGUAGGGCUUCACACGUCAUACAAUGGUCGGGACAGAGGGUCGCUAACCCGCGAGGGGGAGCUGCGAAUCCCAGAAACCCGAUCGUAGUCCGGAUCGCAGUCUGCAACUCGACUGCGUGAAGUCGGAAUCGCUAGUAAUCGCGGAUCAGCAUGUCGCGGUGAAUACGUUCCCGGGUCUUGUACACACCGCCCGUCACACCAUGGGGAGUGGGUUUUACCAGAAGUAGUUAGCCUAACCGUAAGGAGGGCGAUUACCACGGUAGGAUUCAUGACUGGGGUGAAGUCGUAACAAGGUAG
rnacentral:rRNA from 1 species